rnacentral:rRNA from 1 species
GACGAACGCUGGCGGCGUGCUUAACACAUGCAAGUCGAGCGAUGAAGUUUCUUCGGAAAUGGAUUAGCGGCGAACGGGUGAGUAACACGUGAGGAAUCUGCCCUUCACUUUGGAAUAACUCCGGGAAACCGGAGCUAAUACCGGAUACGAACUCUGGCGGCAUCGCCGGGGUUGGACAGUUUUUCGGUGAAGGAUGCCCUCGCGGCCUAUCAGCUUGUUGGUGAGGUAAUGGCUCACCAAGGCGACGACGGGUAGCCGGCCUGAGAGGGCGACCGGCCACACUGGGACUGAGACACGGCCCAGACUCCUACGGGAGGCAGCAGUGGGGAAUAUUGGGCAAUUGGCGAAAGCCUGACGCAGCGACGCCGCGUGCGGGAUGAAGGCCUUCGGGUUGUAAACCGCUUUCAGCAGGGAAGAAGCGAAAGUGACGGUACCUGAAGAAGAAGCACCGGCUAACUAUGUGCCAGCAGCCGCGGUAA